rnacentral:rRNA from 1 species
UACGUAGGGGGCUAGCGUUGUCCGGAAUCAUUGGGCGUAAAGCGCGCGUAGGCGGCCAGAUAAGUCCGGUGUGAAAGUCACAGGCUCAAUCUGUGAAUGCCGCUGGAAACUGUCUGGCUAGAGUCCGGAAGGGGCGAGUGGAAUUCCUGGUGUAGCGGUGAAAUGCGCAGAUAUCAGGAGGAACACCAAUGGCGAAGGCAGCUCGCUGGGACGUGACUGACGCUGAGACGCGAAAGCGUGGGGAGCAAACAGG